rnacentral:rRNA from 1 species
UACGGAGGGUGCGAGCGUUGUCCGGAAUCACUGGGCGUAAAGGGCGCGUAGGCGGCGCGGGCAGUCAACGGUGAAAGCUUGGGGCUCGACCCCGAGUCGGCCGUCGAUACUCCCGGGCUGGAGCACUGUAGAGGCAGGUGGAAUUCCGGGUGUAGCGGUGGAAUGCGUAGAGAUCCGGAAGAACACCGGUGGCGAAAGCGGCCUGCUGGGCAGUAGCUGACGCUGAGGCGCGACAGCGUGGGGAGCAAACAGG